rnacentral:rRNA from 1 species
AGUGUACGCUGGCGGCGUGCCUAAUACAUGCAAGUCGAGCGAACGGACGAGAAGCUUGCUUCUCUGAUGUUAGCGGCGGACGGGUGAGUAACACGUGGAUAACCUACCUAUAAGACUGGGAUAACUUCGGGAAACCGGAGCUAAUACCGGAUAAUAUUUUGAACCGCAUGGUUCAAAAGUGAAAGACGGUCUUGCUGUCACUUAUAGAUGGAUCCGCGCUGCAUUAGCUAGUUGGUAAGGUAACGGCUUACCAAGGCAACGAUGCAUAGCCGACCUGAGAGGGUGAUCGGCCACACUGGAACUGAGACACGGUCCAGACUCCUACGGGAGGCAGCAGUAGGGAAUCUUCCGCAAUGGGCGAAAGCCUGACGGAGCAACGCCGCGUGAGUGAUGAAGGUCUUCGGAUCGUAAAACUCUGUUAUUAGGGAAGAACAUAUGUGUAAGUAACUGUGCACAUCUUGACGGUACCUAAUCAGAAAGCCACGGCUAACUACGUG